rnacentral:rRNA from 1 species
AAAAAAGGUAAGCUACUAAGAGCGAAUGGUGGAUGCCUUGACUGGUAAAGGCGAUGAAGGACGUACUAGACUGCGAUAAGCUACGGGGAGCUGUCAAGAAGCUUUGAUCCGUAGAUUUCCGAAUGGGGCAACCCAAUGUAUAGAGAUAUACAUUACCUAUAUAGGAGCGAACGAGGGGAAUUGAAACAUCUUAGUACCCUCAGGAAAAGAAAUCAAUAGAGAUUGCGUCAGUAGCGGCGAGCGAAAGCGCAAGAGGGCAAACCCAGUGCUUGCACUGGGGGUUGUAGGACUGCAAUGUGCAAGAGGUGAGUUUAGCAGAACAUUCUGGAAAGUAUAGCCAUAGAGGGUGAUAGUCCCGUAUGCGAAAAACAAACCUUAGCUAGCAGUAUCCUGAGUAGGGCGGGACACGAGAAAUCCUGUCUGAAGCUGGGUCGACCACGAUCCAACCCUAAAUACUAAUACCAGAUCGAUAGUGCACAAGUACCGUGAGGGAAAGGUGAAAAGAACUGAGGUGAUCAGAGUGAAAUAGAACCUGAAACCAUUUGCUUACAAUCAUUCAGAGCCCUAUGUAGCAAUACAGGGUGAUGGACUGCCUUUUGCAUAAUGAGCCUGCGAGUUGUGGUGUCUGGCAAGGUUAAGCAAACGCGAAGCCGUAGCGAAAGCGAGUCUGAAUAGGGCGCUUAGUCAGAUGCUGCAGACCCGAAACGAAGUGAUCUAUCCAUGAGCAAGUUGAAGCUAGUGUAAGAACUAGUGGAGGACUGAACCCAUAGGCGUUGAAAAGCCCCGGGAUGACUUGUGGAUAGGGGUGAAAGGCCAAUCAAACUUCGUGAUAGCUGGUUCUCUCCGAAAUAUAUUUAGGUAUAGCGUUGUGUCGUAAUAUAAGGGGGUAGAGCACUGAAUGGGCUAGGGCAUACACCAAUGUACCAAACCCUAUCAAACUCCGAAUACCUUAUAUGUAAUCACAGCAGUCAGGCGGCGAGUGAUAAAAUCCGUCGUCAAGAGGGAAACAACCCAGACUACCAGCUAAGGUCCCUAAAUCUUACUUAAGUGGAAAACGAUGUGAAGUUACUUAAACAACCAGGAGGUUGGCUUAGAAGCAGCCAUCCUUUAAAGAAAGCGUAAUAGCUCACUGGUCUAGUGAUUUUGCGCGGAAAAUAUAACGGGGCUAAAGUAAGUACCGAAGCUGUAGACUUGCGCACAACUUAGAUUAUUUAAGUUUAGAAUAUGAGAAACUAAGUUAUAUGUUUAGUUAUAUUUUUACUGAUUUUUAUAGAGUAAAGAUAGAAAUAAAACUUAGUAAAAUCAGUAAAAAUAUUCUUAGACUAAAGUUAAGUAGUUUAAGUUGUGUGCAAGUGGUAGGAGAGCGUUCUAUUUGCGUCGAAGGUAUACCGGUAAGGAGUGCUGGAGCGAAUAGAAGUGAGCAUGCAGGCAUGAGUAGCGAUAAUUAAUGUGAGAAUCAUUAACGCCGUAAACCCAAGGUUUCCUACGCGAUGCUCGUCAUCGUAGGGUUAGUCGGGUCCUAAGUCGAGUCCGAAAGGGGUAGACGAUGGCAAAUUGGUUAAUAUUCCAAUACCAACAUUAGUG